AUGUGGAACACAAGUGGCUGUUACAUCAGAAGACAAAGCAAAAUCACCAAUUUUCAUGCUGUGAUUUUCAGCGUGGGACAGAGAACAUUUGCCAAAGGCUGUCUCUGAUGAAGCUUGGUAUCCCCAGUGGGGGAAAGAAUACUUAGGCUUCAGUGAAUCACUGCAAAGUCACAUGGCAAAGGGCAACUUGCAUGUGUAAGAAAUGAGAGUAUUGAUCCAGUGUCUCAAAUGUAUCAGCUGCUUCUGCUUGCCCUAAACUUCAAAGACCCACCGCUUUUUCUCAAAUAGAAGAAUAUCCCUGAAAACAAAAUCCAGUCAAACUAUACACCUAAAAAUAUUCAUUUCCAUCACUCUUAGAGGAAAGAAAGCUACAUUAUUAAAAUUUACUGAGAAUAUAUAUCUAAAG